rnacentral:lncRNA from 1 species
AAGGAUGAUUUAUAUGGUAACUGUAUCCAAAUAGGUUCUUGAGUGUUUCUUUGCAUACAUUUGGCUUAUCUAGAUGUUUGAAUACCAUUGCUAGAUAGUCACUUCGAUUGGUACAGAAAUCUAUUUCUAUGCUACCGGCUUAGGUUCGAACCUAUGGGGUCAAACAUAUUAGAAGUUCCUCUCCGAUCAGAUGGCUGAUUUGAAGAGUUCCACUGGAAUGAGACUUUAUUAUUAAUGGAGGAUUAGUUAGUGAUUAGAUCACUAAUUAGCUUAAUUUGAUUGAGUAUUAAAGUCUGCAUCAAGUCUAAUUGAAUUGGAUUCAAUCAGAUUAGGUCCGAUUAGGUUAUGAGAUGACCUAAUCGGUAAGAGAAAA